GCCCAGGUGGUGAAAUGGGAGACACGCCAGACUUAGGAUCUGGUGCCGCAAGGCGUGUAGGUUCAAGUCCUAUCCUGGGCA
rnacentral:tRNA from 1 species